UUGUUUGAUAGUCCUCCACUGGAUAUCCGUGGAAAAUCUAGAGCCAAUACUUGCACUGAUAUCUAACAAGCUAAUGCUUCUUGUUAGAUGCAUUUAUUGGAUAUCCGAUCGCUCACAUUGCGAGCGUUAGGUGAUUCUAAAUGACUUUGCUGAUCGUAUGGCCUUGUGCCGACGACAGAUCAAACAAGAUCGCGCCCUAUCAAUUUGUUGUUAGGAUAUUUUCCU
rnacentral:rRNA from 1 species